rnacentral:rRNA from 1 species
CCCUUAGAUGUUCUGGGCCGCACGCGCGCUACACUGACGGAGGCGGCGAGCAUGUCCUUCGCCGAGAGGUGUGGGGAAUCUUGUGAGUCUCCGUCGUGCUGGGGAUAGAUGGUUGCAAUUGUCGAUCUUGAACGAGGAAUUCCUAGUAAGCGCGAGUCAUCAGCUCGCGCUGAUUACGUCCCUGCCCUUUGUACACACCGCCCGUCGCUACUACCGAUUGGAUGGCUUAGCGAGAAUUUUGGAUCGGAGCCCGGGUGGUCGGCAACGGUCGCCCGGGAGAUCUGAGAAAUCAUUCCAGCUUGGUCAUCUAGAGGAAGUAAAAGUCGUAACA